UAAACUCAUCUCGUUCUUUUUUUCUUGUUUUCCACUUAUAGACGGCAAACACUAACCUCUCUGACUCUCUCCAUCUUCAUCUCAUCCUCUCUAACAAUAAUUGGGAAACAGAUGAAUCAACAAGAGAAAUUGAAUCCUUUGCAUCAUCUCCUCCACAAAUCCACAAGAUAACUGCAAAAAUUUCUUUCUCACCCUUCAAAACGAAAAACCCCAUCUUCUGAACUAUGUUCAUCAUCGUUAAAUAAACUCUUUACUUCAUCUCCUCAUGAUCUAUCAUCUCUCUAAAAACCCAAACUUUUCCAAUUUUAAAAACCCAAUAAUCUUUCAAUUCUAGAUAUAUGCAAGGUCGUCAAUCGAUUAAGAGCACAAAAGGAAAACCCUAACUGGUGUUGGAUUUCACUGUGUUAUGGGUGAUUCUCAGUAUUUCAUUUACCAAUAGCUAAUUGCACGCAUAUCGGUAUUAACAUGGCUAUGGAGAAUAUGGGUCAAGAAUAGUUGCUCAAGAAAUUGUAUGCUGAGCAGAUGUAGGAAUUUGGAUUGGUGUGCUGAUUACUACAAUGGGUUUAUUAACAAGGGAGUCGACCUCAGCUUCAUUGUCUGUGGAGUAGUUUGUGUGUCCUUCACAUUUUAAUCUGCUGGCGAGGAAGAAUAUCAUCUGAUCAACAUAUUUGGCUUUAUGUUGAACAUUGUGCAGACAUCAAUGUUUUCAUUCAAUCACUACCUGCAAAGGAAUUGGUUGUAGCAGCUUGCACAAUUACUUCCUGCUAGGUGGGGAUACUUACUCUGUUCUAAUACUUAUUCAAAACAGCUAGUUGAAUUGCGACUGGAAGACUUAAUAGAACUACAAUAUGGAGUUGGAAAACCUGUGCUUUCGUGUAUGUGUAGGUUUAGGUUGGGAUAAUAUUUCUGUUUAGCUUACAUCCCCAUCUUUGAUAUGAAGUCUUAUUUCUGUCUACAAACUUCUGAUGGUUCAAUCAGCAAGUAGAAUAAGAGGUUGCUAUGUUCAUCCCAAUUGCAGAGAAGUGCUACAAAAUAGCUAGCAAGGAUCAACUAAGAACUACGCUAUUUCACUUCACGAGCAAAUACAACUAUAUUAAGCUUAAUACUCGAUCAUUGUCGUUUCUAUCAAAUACCUGGCCGUUCUAAUAAGGUACUUGAUCUUUGAUCGCUGGCGUCGUCGAGAACUAUAAAUUCAUCAAGUAUCUGAUCAGCUAGUCGACAACAGCGCUCAGGAAGCUUUACCUGCUACAACAGUUUACAACCUGGUAAGCAUUUCAACAUUUCUACGGAAGAUGUGUUGCUUCCCUAAGAUCCAUAGGUCUAUUGGUUUUGCAUCUAAUAAUUUAACCAUUGCUCCUCAAUUCUGUAAUGCCUUUGCAAAUCAAGUAUGGAAGCAACCUUCUUCUUAUAGGUGGACAGUCAAAAGAGUUAUCGUAUGUUACAAUUGGCAGCAGUGUCUCACUAUACCUAACUCACUUGCAUAUUGUUGAUACAUGAAAAAUACUAUCCCUUAGCGAGGCUCGUGUGCCCUCAAUGGGGAGGCAAUCCCAACAUGAGACAUGGGGACUUGGAGACUAAAGUCCAAGUCCACCAAGAAAGUGUCCAUGAAAUGAAAAGGACAAGGGAGGAAUUAAAAAGGAAGAAAGAAGUUUCAUUAGAGAAGGGAUGGCGUUAGUAGUAAUUAAGGGAGUUUAGGACACAUGGCAUGAUGUCAUGAAAAGAUGGGGCUUUUGGAAGGUCUAGAUAAAGAAGGACAAGGUACAAUGGAAAGACAACUCUCUCUUACUAUUCUUAGAAAAGUGAGGUCAUUUGGCUAGUUAGGACCGGUAGAACCUCAAACCUGAAUUCACUCCUUAACAUUUGGCGACCACACCCGGAGGCUCGUGCCUAGCUCACCAUGACACACACAUAAGGCGCUAACUCAGGCGCGACAGAGAGCCCAAAGAUUCCCCCACUCAAUUAAGAAAGCGAGAGGAUAGGAAUAGUGACAGACCCGAUCACACAAGCGAAAAAACCAGGUGCCACGCGUGAAAAAGACGAAUGACAGGAAACCGAGGAGGCGCCACCCACCCAACCUUCCCUCGAGGAACUGCAGAAUGAACUAGAAGGCCAUAUACGAAGGGAACAAGAACUGAGAAAACUCAUAAAGGCAGCCAAUGUCGAGAAGAGCGUCAAAGAGACAACAAAGAACGCGGAAGAGGAAGAGCCCGUAGCUAUGAUACAGGAGGCGAUGGCAAGAUACUUAGAGACGAACUACAGGGUCGUAAAACAAUACAAUUACAACUUCGUGACGAGUCCUUACUCCUCUGAAAUAACAGAAUACCAGUACCCGGGGGAUUACAAUUCACCCAAAUUCAAGUUCUACAAUGGUCAAAGUAACGCAAGAAAGCACCUCAGUUGGUUCCUAUCUGCUAUGAAUGAUUGCGCAACUGAUGUGAAACUAUGCUUGAGAGAGUUCCUGAAGUCGCUAACUGAUACAACUUUCACUUGGUACGAUAACCUAAAGUCCGGAAGCAUCAGCUCGUGGUUGACCAUAUCCACACUCUUCCUCAGAAAAUUCUAUUCAGCCAAAAGGAAAGUCACAACAAUAGACUUGAGUAAGUCCAAUCAACGCCUAGGCAAGGAGAUAGGAAAAUACAUCGCCAGGUUUCGCCUGCUUACCCUUGAUUUCCAUGAGAGGAUGUCGGGGAGGAAUCACUAGCGGAAAUUUGUGUGCGAGGAAUGACCCCAUCCUUCAGGAAAAGCCUAGUCAACUUUCGCUUCCCCACAUUUGUGGAUCUAGAAGAAGCAACCGCAAGAAUCGCCGACUGCAUUGAGGAACCGAGCUCAGACUACGUCUGGCGAAACUCGGUGAACACCGUUUCAACCACGCCCAGGAAUACCCGUGCAAAUAACAGCCGAGAGGGUUGGGGAACACAUGCGCUUCCACCACCCCUGCCCUGUAGCAAAGAACAAAUUGUGGGAUUAUUGGAACAAUGGGUAGCAAACAAGGAAAUCCAACUCCCGCCAACAAAGACUAACUCCAACACUAUUGACAUAAAUGACGCCAGGUAUUGCCGUUACCACCGCAGGGUACAUCAUCCUACGAUCGACUGCUUCAAUCUUCGGAGAAUGUUCCAGAAAAAGUUGGACACAGGCGAGAUUGAGAUGAGCAACCCAGAAGGCGGCAAAACGACUCAACACCAAAUCAUGAUGCUCUCCCCCGAUCCGAGCGGGGACGUUUGGAAGCCAUGGGAUGAUGAGGUGGAAGAAGCAUGUGAAGUCGAGAUGGAAAACCCAGCAUUUUCAAACACGGACAGCGUGGCUUGCCAGUUUGCAAAAACGGUGUUAGCUGAACAAUUCUUCGAUUCCCUCGGUUUCAGUGAAGACCAAAUCAGAGAAGCAUCCAAGGCUAUAACCAUAGAGGCAGGAAGGCCCUGUGGUCUCCUCCCAAAGAAGCGAUUGUGUUCACAAAUGAAGAUAUCUGCUAUCCGGGAGAACACCUCAGACCCUUGUACCUCACAGUGCACAUCAACAAGAAAACGCUAAAGAGGGGUUUCAUAGAUGGGGGUGCAUCCUUAAACUUAAUCUCGAUGCACACACUGGAAGUCCUAGGCCUGCAACGGUCUUCCAUCAGAAUGCGAGCUACAACUGUGAAAAGGUUCGGAGGCCAGGCUCAAACAGCCAUUAGAAUCGUCAGCUUGGUCAUGAGGGUUGGUCCCAUCCGAGGGCCAACACCAUUUUACGUACUAGAAAAGGACACUACAUUCCAUGUGUUACUAGGGCGAGGAUGACUACUUAAUCAUAAGGUAGUCGCAUCAACGUACCACCAGUGUUUAAAGACUAACGUAGGCGGUAAGAAAUACCGAAUCCCCGCUUUGAGUAACCCCUUCGAUCCGGAGGAAGCAUACAUGGCGGAUGCAAUCUUCUAUGACGAGUCGAAAAAGAAAGAUGAGGUGCCAGAAACACAACUCACCCCGUUAGCAAAAUGGGGAGAGGAAGAAAAAUCAGAGCCGGCCAAGUCCGUAUUCGGCCCUUCAAGACUGGUGUUCCCAGCAGAGAAGAAGAGGAAACAAGAGGAGCAACCCAGUUUUCAACUUUUCUCCAAACCAAAUGGGGGACAUGUGUACCGCUUGAAGCAAUUAACUGAGGGAGCGCCCGCAAGCACGUUAGAUCACGCUGACUUGACAAUGAAUGAAGCGAAGCCUCCCAAUGAAAGCGCCGAACAAAGUUUGUCUGAACUCCCUUACAACACGAUCGAUGAUGAGGAGUUCCGAAGCCAAUCGACAGGUACUACCACCAAAGCUGCUGAAGAACGAACACCAGGAAAUCUCACUAUGGAUGGAAUGAAAGAAGACAUAUGAACGCAAUGAGACAAGCACCCGAUCAUGAUAAGUAAGAACUUAAACAGAGAAGAGAGGAGGCCCUGAUCGCGCUGCUUAAGGAUUACAAAGAUGUCUUCGCCUACGACUACGACGAAAUGCCGGGUCUGGAUAGCAACCUGGUUGUCCACAACCUCGGGGUAUCACCUGAAUUAAAACUUGUGAAACAAAGGAGCAUGGAAUUUCCCAGGACCACUGCUCUCGCGAUAAAGGAAGAAGUGUGAACGAUUACUUAGAUCCAAGUUUAUCAAGCCUAUCCAGCACACUACUUGGCUCUCCAACAUCGUGCCAGUAACCAAGAAGAAUGGGAGAAUCAGGUGUUGCGUGGAUUAUAGAGACCUGAACCACGCUUGCCCGAAGGACGACUUCCCGCUACCAAACAUCGACAUGACGCUCGAUGCGACCGGAAAGAAAAAAAGGUACUCCUUCACGGAUGGCUUCAGCGGAUACAACCAAGUAAAGAUAGAUCCUGUGAAUGCAAAAAAGACCGCAUUCCAAACUCCAUAUGACAAUUUUUACUAUGUAGUGAUGCCAUUUGCUCUGAAGAAUGCUGGUUCCAUGUACCAACGUCCAUAUUUCACGAUCUGUUGCAUCGGACGGUAAAAGUGUACGUUGAUGACAUCGUGGUUAAAACACAAGAAGCCGAGGAUCACAUCUCUCACCUGAAGACGGCCUUCAAAAGUUGCAAGAAGUUCAAACUCAAAAUGAACCUCCUCAAGUGCGCCUUUUGGGUCGCAUCAGGAAAAUUCUUGGGAUUCGUGGUGACCAGUUAGGGAAUCCAAGUAGACCCGCGCAAAGUUGAAGCGAUCACGACGAUGGCUCCGCCAGCGAACACAAAAGAGCUACAGACUUUCAUAGGACUAGUAUCGUAUAUACGACACUUCGUACCCGGUUUAACGCAGCUGAAUGACCGCAUUCCUUCCCUUACUGAAGAAAGAUGUACCUUUUGUGGGGCGGCCGCGGACGUCGACAAACCUUGGACCAUGUUCUUUGACGGUCCUCCUACGGUACUGUAGGAGGAGCAGGAGUAGUCUUCGAAGCUCCGCGAGGAGAAUUGCUCUCGUACUCUUUCAAACUGGAUUUUCCGUGCAGUAAUAAUGUCGCGGAGUACGAAGCUUUGAUUUUAGGACUUCGAAUGACAAAAGAGCUUAAUCUGGGGAGCGUAUAAGUCAAAGGCGAUUCUCGACUCGUAACGAAUCACUUAGCCCCCUACUGGGCGGAAGCCCAAAGGAUGAUGAGUCAAACAGGGUCGACUUUGGACCAUACCGGCAGGGAAACAAACAUGCGGAUGCCCUGGCGACCCCGGCAAGUAAGGUACAAUUAAAUGGUGAAGAGGAGGGUACAGUCACGAUACGAAGAAAAGAGUUGUCCAACACUUGGAAAGAAGACUUGUCCUUCAAAGAGGCGGACGACUGGAGGCAGGUGUACAUUGAAGACUUGACUCGAAUGAACGAAGAGUGGGUGAUUCCUACCCAGGCCUUGAAGCAGUUUGUAAUGAUCCAAGGAGCCCUGUACUACAGAGCAACCGGAGGGUCCCUUGCGAGAUGUGUAAAUAAAAGAGAAGGGGAAAAGUUACUCCAAGAAUUACACGCGGAAACAUGUGGGCAGACCGGCGUUGUUCACCUCUACAGAAAGCCUCAAAGGUUGGGCGUAUAUUGGCCAAACAUGUCAGCUCAAGCGGUAACACUCCAAGAUAGUUGCGCCGAUUUCCAAGCUCCGCCGCAACUCGCAGAAGUCUGCACAGUCAAAGAAGUAGACUAGAGAUGGCCUUACAUUGAUUUCAUCCAACACAGGAAGCUACCCAGUGACAGGCAGACAACCCUAAAGAUCCAAAAGAAGGCAGCGCGUUUCUUCAUACACGAAGGUAUCCUUUAUCGCAGAAGUUAUGGUAACACCGCGCUACGGUGUCUGUCGAAUCAGGAAGCAGCUGAAGUCAUGACCCGAUUAGGGCUGCACAUGGGUCGGGUUGGGUCGGGUUUGGCCUCACCCACCACCCGACCCACUGCUGGUGGGUAAUUGAACUUUUCACCCGCAACCGACCCACCAUAACAAUGGGUCGCUUUUCACCCGACCCAGAAUAAGGCGGGUUGGGUCGGGUCGGGUGGUGGGUUACCCGUCAUAACUUGCAAAUUACUUGUAUCAUGAUUCAUGAAGAAUUACAAAAUUCAAGUGUAGAAAAUUAAAGUUACUUAAAAAUGAAGGAGACAAAUAUUUUCCAUAAACUUCUUUGUUAACACCUAAUUUACUACUAGGGGUGGAUAAACCAUUUCCGACGAGGCAUGCUGAUCAGCUGAUGAAGCAGCCAUUAAUCAAUUUAGGGAAGAAGAGUCUCCGUGACUCUGUUUCUGAGAAGGAGAGAAGAAGAUGCCGAAGUGAUAGGUGUGGGCUGCGAGUGCGAUGCUUAGUUAGGGUUAGGUAUUUUAUUUUUUCAAUCCAAUUGCUGAGAUUCAUUCUAGGAUAGA